rnacentral:sRNA from 1 species
GUCACACUUUCGCUGAAUAUUCAAAUUUACGUCGCAAUUUGUUUGUUUACUAACAAAAAAUUUGUAAUAAUAAAUGAUCUGUUCUGUGCGCGAGUAUACACCAUUAUCAUUCAGGCUCAGCUUGUUGUAUGUUGUAUGUUGUAUCGGCGUCCAUACGGGACUCAUCAGGUGGAAUGGAACAGGCCGCCGACGCCGGGCGUUUGGCCAUGUCGAUGCAGGAGCUGGCUUUUGACCUGGAUGUUUUCCUCGCACGACACAGAAGAAAGAAGACGUGGAUCUCAAUGUGGAGCGCACCUGCAGACCUGGAAUUCAGCACGGCACCAAAAUGCCCCUUCUGGAUGUUAAACAAAACUUUGUUUUCGACAAGAUGAAGGCUGCUACCAUGGGGACUGGAGCAAGAAGGUUCCCCUUGACGUGGCUUGUUCGGUGGACGAAGUCUCCUGCCUUGCCAACGAUCAAAAUCAUAUUACAAGCAUCUACAAUCACUUAUAUAGAUAGCGCUUAAGCUGAAUCACCUGCUAAAGCUGGAGACAGCGGACAUUACCGCUAAAGAAGGGUUGCUGGACUGCUGUGACCAAAUUCUGACCUCCAGAUUCUUGCGUUUGACAAAAACAAACAGAAAACUGUCCUGCGACGUGACGACAUUGGUUAGGUCGUCAUACAAGACGGCACCAAGAUCUUCUUCCAGGAAGGCCUGCAACGUGUGUUGCUCUUGAUCCAAGUCUGGUCGAUAGUCAAACGUACUGCCUCCGCAGAGCAUCGAUCUAUGCAUUCAUUGCAAUGGUCUGUCUCCAGCUCUAGCAUCAUUUGGGAGUCGAAGAAGGAGGGCAAAAAGCGCUUUAAGGAGAUGACCGUACACGACACCGACGCUCUGAAGGCCGAGUAUCUGGUACACAAAGGCUUUAACGAUAUCCUUUAAUCAGAUCGAUUUUAACCGAAUGUUACUAAACUAGUCCAUUAAUCGAAGUCAUCGCCAUUCCAUAAUCUGCUGCGUAUAAAAAUAAAUCGUGUCCAGGUGCACAGACCAAAGUCUACAAAGUCUUGUGCUGCUUUUAGAGUCAUUACUUGGUCGCCUUCUCUAUUUGAUUGAUUUGGGCUAAUGACUGGGCAACUGUUUAACUUCAAACUACUGUUUUUCCCAAAAAAUUUGUAUUUUAAGAAACUAUCGCUGUCCAUAGAUUGCGGCUAAAGAGAUAGGCAAUAGUAUAGCAAAUAAGAUUUAGAUAGAAUGGGAUCGCACUGAAGUCUAUCGACUAUCCGCAGCACUCAUACUAUCAAGCAACUAGUUGCUAUCUUACAUCUUCAUGAUGCCCAACCUAGCCUCAUCCGCCCGCGCCAUUUCGUAAAGGACGAAAGACGGCCCCACCGACGACAGGAGCUUGGGAUCCAGCUUGUCAUCAGGCCGUUGCUUGAGGAUGUAGCUGUAAUGAUGAAGCCCACCACCACAUACCAAUCGAAGGACACAUCAAGGAUGCUGAAUCCUAAACUCCUUGGGAACUUAUGCUGGUCGAGAACAUGCUCAUGGGUGCACUGAACACACACACGAGAUGAACACUCCCGGCAUGCUCCGCAGAUGGCCGACAGAGUCCUGGACGAAAUUUGGCAUUAUUUUGUCCUGUUUGGACACUUGCCGCCUGGUUGGGAUAACAAUCGUGGAAGCGGGAGUGGAUCACGAUGCAUGUGAAUCUGUUGAAAGCCGUUGGCGAUAUUCUUGUUGUAGAAAACAGGAAUAAUCACGUACAUUAAGGCACCACCGCCACCGUGCAGCCCAAGUUAAAGAAUGGUCAUAAUGGCAAUGGCCGAGAGCCGACUAGCCACAAGGAAAGUGUCAAUCGGUAUCCUUUUCAUUCUGUUCGUUAUCACCUGAAAAAACCUGGAAUUUAUAUUGCGGUUAUUAUUCACGUGGAGCCAAAUAU